UACGGAGGGUGCAAGCGUUAUCCGGAUUCACUGGGGUUAAAAGGUGCGUAGGUGGUUUUGUAAGUCAGUGGUGAAAGCCCGGAGCUCAACUCCGGAACUGCCAUUGAUACUGCUUAACUUGAAUCAACUUGAGGUGGAUGGAAUAUUACAUGUAGCGGUGAAAUGCUUAGAGAUGUAAUAGAACACCAAUUGCGAAGGCAGUUCACUAAGGUUGUAUUGACACUGAGGCACGAAAGCGUGGGGAUCAAACAGG
rnacentral:rRNA from 1 species